AUUGCCCUAGUAACUGGCGAGUGAAGCGGCAACAGCUCAAAUUUGAAAGCUGGCUCCGGCCCGCAUUGUAAUUUGCAGAGGAUGCUUCUGGUGAGGUGCCUUCCGAGUUCCCUGGAACGGGACGCCAUAGAGGGUGAGAGCCCCGUAUGGAUGGACACCAAACCUGUGUGAAGCUCCUUCAACGAGUCGAGUAGUUUGGGAAUGCUGCUCUAAAUGGGAGGUAAAUCUCUUCUAAAGCUAAAUACCGGCCAGAGACCGAUAGCGCACAAGUAGAGUGAUCGAAAGAUGAAAAGCACCUUGAAAAGGGGGUUAAACAGUACGUGAAAUUGUUGAAAGGGAAGCGCUUGUGACCAGACUUGCGCCGGGCAGCUCAUCAGGGGUUCUCCCCUGUGCACUCUGCCCGGCUCAGGCCAGCAUCGGUUCUCGUGGGAGGAUAAGAACGGUAGGAACGUGGCCCCCUUCCGGGGGGGUGUUAUAGCCUACCGUACGAUACUCCCGUGGGGACCGAGGUUCGCGCUCCGCAAGGAUGCUGGCGUAAUGGUCAUCAGCGACCCGUCUUGAAACACGGACCAAGGAGUCGUCCAUUAGAGCGAGCGUUUGGGUGUAAAACCCGCACGCGUAAUGAAAGUGAACGCAGGUGAGAGCUUCGGCGCAUCAUCGACCGAUCCUGAUGUCUUCGGAUGGAUUUGAGUAAGAGUUUUAACGGACGGACCCGAAAGACAGUGAACUAUGCUUGUAUAGGGUGAAGCCAGAGGAAACUCUGGUGGAGGCUCGCAGCGGUUCUGACGUGCAAAUCGAUCGUCAAAUAUGAGCAUGGGGGCGAAAGACUAAUCGAACUGUCUAGUAGCUGGUUACCGCC
rnacentral:rRNA from 1 species